rnacentral:rRNA from 1 species
UAGUCCACGCCGUAAACGAUGGUCACUAGCUGUUCGGACUUCGGUCUGAGUGGCUAAGCGAAAGUGAUAAGUGACCCACCUGGGGAGUACGUUCGCAAGAAUGAAACUCAAAGGAAUUGACGGGGGCCCGCACAAGCGGUGGAGCAUGUGGUUUAAUUCGAUGAUACGCGAGGAACCUUACCAGGGCUUAAAUGUAGGUUGACAGGCUGAGAGAUCGGUUUUUCUUCGGACAACUUACAAGGUGCUGCAUGGUUGUCGUCAGCUCGUGCCGUGAGGUGUCAGGUUAAGUCCUAUAACGAGCGCAACCCCUGUUGUUAGUUGCCAUCGAGUAAUGUCGGGAACUCUAACAAGACUGCCGGUGCAAACCGCGAGGAAGGUGGGGACGACGUCAAAUCAUCAUGGCCUUUAUGCCUAGGGCUACACACGUGCUACAAUGGUGCAUACAGCGGGUAGCGAAAUCGCGAGGUGGAGCUAAUCUUGUAAAGUGCAUCCCAGUUCGGAUUGGAGUCUGGAAC